rnacentral:rRNA from 1 species
CACCGGCAGCUCUAGUGGUAGCCAUUUUUAUUGGGCCUAAAGCGUUCGUAGCCGGUUUGAUAAGUCUCUGGUGAAAUCCUAUAGCUUAACUGUGGGACUUGCUGGAGAUACUAUUAGACUUGAGGUCGGGAGAGGUUAGCGGUACUCCCAGGGUAGGGGUGAAAUCCUGUAAUCCUGGGAGGACCACCUGUGGCGAAGGCGGCUAACUGGAACGAACCUGACGGUGAGGGACGAAAGCCAGGGGCGCGAACCGGAUUAGAUACCCGGGUAGUCCUGGCCGUAAACGAUGUGGACUUGGUGUUGGAAUGGCUUCGAGCUGCUCCAGUGCCGAAGGGAAGCUGUUAAGUCCACCGCCUGGGAAGUACGGUCGCAAGACUGAAACUUAAAGGAAUUGGCGGGGAGCACCACAACGCGUGGAGCCUGCGGUUU